rnacentral:rRNA from 1 species
ACACAUGCAAGUCGAGCGGAGACAGUGAGUAGCUUGCUAUGAGCUGUUUUAGCGGCGGACGGGUGAGUAACGCGUGAGCAACCUUUCCCAGACAGGGGAAUAACACACCGAAAGGUGUACUAAUACCGCAUAAGACCACGGGAUCACAUGGUUCUGGGGUAAAAGAUUUAUCGGUUUGGGGUGGGCUCGCGUCCGAUUAGGUAGUUGGUGAGGUAACGGCCCACCAAGCCGACGAUCGGUAGCCAACCUGAGAGGGUGAUCGGCCACAUUGGGACUGAGACACGGCCCAAACUCCUACGGGAGGCAGCAGUGGGGAAUAUUGGGCAAUGGGGGGAACCCUGACCCAGCAACGCCGCGUGGAGGAAGAAGGUUUUCGGAUCGUAAACUCCUGUCCUUGGAGACGAGUAGAAGACGGUAUCCAAGGAGGAAGCCCCGGCUAACUACGUGCCAGCAGCCGCGGUAAUACGUAGGGGGCAAGCGUUGUCCGGAAUAAUUGGGCGUAAAGGGCGCGUAGGCGGCUCGGUAAGUCUGGAGUGAAAGUCCUGCUUUUAAGGUGGGAAUUGCUUUGGAUACUGUCGGGCUUGAGUGCAGGAGAGGUUAGUGGAAUUCCCAGUGUAGCGGUGAAAUGCGUAGAGAUUGGGAGGAACACCAGUGGCGAAGGCGACUAACUGGACUGUAACUGACGCUGAGGCGCGAAAGUGUGGGGAGCAAACAGGAUUAGAUACCCUGGUAGUCCACACUGUAAACGAUGAAUGCUAGGUGUAGGGGGUAUCGACCCCUUCUGUGCCGCAGUCAACACAAUAAGCAUUCCGCCUGGG